ACGACUACAUAUCAGGCAUAUCAAUAAGCGGAGGAAAAGAAACUAACAAGGAUUCCCUUAGUAACGGCGAGUGAAGCGGGAAGAGCUCAAAUUUGAAAUCUUCAAGGUUCUACCUUGACGAAUUGUAGUUUAAAGAAGUGUUUUCUGUUAGAUGAGUAGCAAAAGUUCCUUGGAAUGGGACAUCAUAGAGGGUGAGAAUCCCGUAUUUGGUUAUUCAUUCUAGCUUUGUGAUACACUUUCAAAGAGUCGGAUUGUUUGGGAAUGCAGUCCAAAAUGGGUGGUAAAUUUCAUCUAAAGCUAAAUAUUGGCGAGAGACCGAUAGCGAACAAGUACCGUGAGGGAAAGAUGAAAAGAACUUUGAAAAGAGAGUUAAACAGUACGUGAAAUUGUCAAAAGGGAAGCGUUUGACACCAGUGUUGUUUUUCCGAAAAUCAAUUACGAAUGGCUUGAUUUUGUGUUGUAUUGACCUUAUCAGCUUUCUUCACUUUUUUCGAGUCUUUCUUAAUGCACUUUUUGGUUAACAAGUCAACAUCAAUUUCUUUUGUUGUAAAAGAGUAUUCGGAAGGUGGCUUUCUUUUCGGAGAAAGUGUUUAUAGCCCUAUACUUCUACAAUCGGAGAGAUUGAGGUCUGCAGCGUAGAUCCUUCGGGGUUAGAUACACUUGUGCUAAGUUGUAGCUUUUCAUAGACAACUUGUUGACUAUGUUUAGUCAUGCGGCUUACUCGCUUAUGCUAUUUUACCUACGCUUAGGAUGUUGAGUAGCGACAUACGCAC
rnacentral:rRNA from 1 species